rnacentral:rRNA from 1 species
GAUGAACGCUGGCGGCGUGCCUAAUACAUGCCAGUCGAGCGAACGGACGAGAAGCUUGCUUCUCUGAUGUUAGCGGCGGACGGGUGAGUAACACGUGGAUAACCUACCUAUAAGACUGGGAUAACUUCGGGAAACCGGAGCUAAUACCGGAUAAUAUUUUGAACCGCAUGGUUCAAAAGUGAAAGACGGUCUUGCUGUCACUUAUAGAUGGAUCCGCGCUGCAUUAGCUAGUUGGUAAGGUAACGGCUUACCAAGGCAACGAUGCAUAGCCGACCUGAGAGGGUGAUCGGCCACACUGGAACUGAGACACGGUCCAGACUCCUACGGGAGGCAGCAGUAGGGAAUCUUCCGCAAUGGGCGAAAGCCUGACGGAGCAACGCCGCGUGAGUGAUGAAGGUCUUCGGAUCGUAAAACUCUGUUAUUAGGGAAGAAUAUAUGUGUAAGUAACUGUGCACAUCUUGACGGUACCUAAUUAGAAAGCCACGGCUAACUACGUG